UGGGGAAUUUUGCACAAUGGGGGAAACCCUGAUGCAGCGACGCCGCGUGAUUUAGAAGGCCUUCGGGUUGUAAAAAUCUUUUGUAUGGGAAGAAAAUGACAGUACCAUACGAAUAAGGACCGGCUAAUUACGUGCCAGCAGCCGCGGUAAUACGUAAGGUCCGAGCGUUGUCCGGAAUCAUUGGGCGUAAAGGGUACGUAGGCGGAUAAGCAAGUUAGAAGUGAAAUCCUAUAGCUCAACUAUAGUAAGCUUUUAAAACUGCUCAUCUUGAGGUAUGGAAGGGAAAGUGGAAUUCCUAGUGUAGCGGUGAAAUGCGCAGAUAUUAGGAGGAAUACCGGUGGCGAAGGCGACUUUCUGGCCAUAUACUGACGCUGAGGUAUGAAAGCGUGGGUAGCAAACAGG
rnacentral:rRNA from 1 species